GAUGAAGAACGUAGCGAAAUGCGAUACGUAAUGUGAAUUGCAAAUUCAGUGAAUCAUCGAAUCUUUGAACGCACAUUGCGCCCCCUGGUAUUCCGGGGGGCAUGCCUGUUCGAGCGUCAUUUCACCACUCAAGCCUCGCUUGGUAUUGGGCAACGCGGUCCGCCGCGUGCCUCAAAUCGACCGGCUGGGUCUUCUGUCCCCUAAGCGUUGUGGAAACUAUUCGCUAAAGGGUGUUCGGGAGGCUACGCCGUAAAACAACCCCAUUUCUAAGGUUGACCUCGGAUCAGGUAGGGGUACCCGCUGAACUUAAGCAUAUCAAUAAGCGGAGGA
rnacentral:misc_RNA from 1 species